UAUAAAUUGGAGCGAGACAACUUGCUGGAGGAGAGAGAGAGAAUUCAGGAAAACAGAAGGAGCACACACCUACCAAAGAAGGUAAUGUCUCAGACAAUGUGAGAAUAAGACCUACAUAUGUGUAUGCAUCUAACUUUAAUGCUAGGAAGAAAAAGCCUUUAAUUUCUCCCCUUAAGUUUCCAACAUCACUUCCAGCAAGAGCACCUUAUAUCUACAGCUAUUUGCAGUGUUGUAUUUCUACCCACUUUCAGUAGCUUAGUCCAUUUAUUAAUUCUGUGCCCUAUUAGCAAUCUCAACUUCUGGCAUUCAUGGUUCCUUUUGAGAAGACUUCUGGGAUAUUCCUUCUCCAGAGCUGCCAGACACUGCAGAGCAAACAGCCUUCAAAGGAAAAGCUGGCUCUUUCACGCUCAUGGAUAGGAUCCAUUGACACCUGCUCACUUAGAAGAGGACUUUAAGAUACAUGAAUGUCCUAUUAACUCGGGUUUUACAUCAUUAGGAUAGAAUCUUCUCAGCCACUGAAGAUUUUCAUCUGGUCUGCAUUAGGAUGAGAGGAAAACGCCCUACUGAAAAUAGAGAUUCCUGUACAUGUUGAAUCCUCUGCACAUAUAUUCCAUGUCUCAGAAAUGCAUUAAUACUAUGCAGCUGUCACAUCAAAGUGUCAGCUAGUACAAGUCUUUGGAUGGCAGAGUAGCAUCUCCUCUUAAUUUCUCAGCUCUUUUCAAGUGGCUUAGUUUUCAGUUGUUUUUUUUAAUUUUUCCCUUGUGUAUGAGAUCACAGCAACAUAUAUUGUAUAUUUGUUUUUACAUUUUAUAUUCCACUUCACAUUAUUCACUGGCCAUUGCAUUCUCCACACACAUUUUCUUGUCAAGUUAAACCAAUCAUCAGUUGCCACCAGAAAAUCAGUGCUCACUAAGGAAAACUUCAUCAUGGAAGGUCAUGUGUAAAUGUAUAUAUGUAUAUAUAUUCUUGUAAACUUUCCAUUAGAAUACCACACAAGGAGAAAGAAAAGGUUAGAAAUACUACAGUAGAAUGAUCGAAAGAUAACAAUAGAACAGCGCAGCUCAGCAAAUGAAUUAGAAAUGUACAGAGCAUUAGCUACUAAACAGUUAGAAGCUGGUUUUGAUUUUGUAUUUAUUAGGUAUAUUAAGGGGUCAAAAAGAGAAUUCACAUUCUGUAGGAAAUUCUAACAUUUUGUCAUCUAUUCUUAUUCCAAUUAAAGUGAAAUAUUCAAAUGUCAGCAUUUUCUGAGGUACAGUUCCAGGGAAUAUAUAUUUUUAGAAAGGCCAGAAUUUCAAUACAUCUUUCUUGUAAAAAAUAUUGAAUCAUUAGUUUACAAGAGAUUAUGUGCAUGUGGAUAUAUCUACUGUUAAUUACAAUACAUGGAAUAGUAAAACAUUAGUAAGAGCAGUGAAAAUGAAAUUAUGAUUAAUAGCACAAAUGAAAAAUGAUGAAAUCACUGUAAAACAGUCUUGUCACAUUGAAGUGAGAGGUCUUCCUGUAGCUACUUCAACCAGUUACAGAACUUAAGUGGGAAUAUUAUUACUUUUAAUGAUAUUCUGAUAUCACUGUGAUGGCUAAACUUUGUAAAUCCAUCUUAAUUAAGCAAGGCCACAAGCACAGCAAUUGCCUGAUGUUGUUUAUUUAUCGUUAUUCCAAAUACUCAGAUAGCUUCAUGAUCAGCGUUUCAUAAAGUACACAGAGACACUUAGAAUAUUAAAUGCCAACAAUUUGUCUUUUAGCAGGUGCCUACUUAUCAAUGAAAAAAUGUUCUGAUUCCAGUACGAUACUAGAAUUUAAAUGAAAUUGAAGUUAAAUUAAUUAAAAUUUAUU
rnacentral:lncRNA from 7 species